GUGGGUCUUCUCGUGGUUUCGCCAUUUCAUGGUGAGGAAGUUCUAUCCACGUGACUGACACCAAGGCACAUCGUGUUGCGGGGAAACCUGCAGGCAGGACAAAGAAAUGAUACGCCUUCCCUCAUAUGCUAUGACGGAGUAUGAGCUCCCGAGGUCGUGGGGAGCAGCGGUGGGACAGGUCCUCCCUUGGCGUGCAAGACCAAACGAAGGCCGAUGAAUGUCAGUCAGAGGCCUGUGGUAGGUCGCGUAGCUUAAUACCGCGUGGGCCGAUGCGCUCUCGCAUCGGCAAUCUACAGAAGAUAGACUAUAGGGGACCCAC
rnacentral:RNase_P_RNA from 1 species